rnacentral:tRNA from 1 species
AAAUAAGAAGCAAACAAAUUGCAUUUAAUUUCGACUUAAAAGGAUGGGUUUAUAGCCCCUUAUUUA